rnacentral:rRNA from 1 species
UAAUGCCUAGGAAUCUGCCUGGUAGUGGGGGACAACGUUUCGAAAGGAACGCUAAUACCGCAUACGUCCUACGGGAGAAAGCAGGGGACCUUCGGGCCUUGCGCUAUCAGAUGAGCCUAGGUCGGAUUAGCUAGUUGGUGAGGUAAUGGCUCACCAAGGCGACGAUCCGUAACUGGUCUGAGAGGAUGAUCAGUCACACUGGAACUGAGACACGGUCCAGACUCCUACGGGAGGCAGCAGUGGGGAAUAUUGGACAAUGGGCGAAAGCCUGAUCCAGCCAUGCCGCGUGUGUGAAGAAGGUCUUCGGAUUGUAAAGCACUUUAAGUUGGGAGGAAGGGUUGUAGAUUAAUACUCUGCAAUUUUGACGUUACCGACAGAAUAAGCACCGGCUAACUCUGUGCCAGCAGCCGCGGUAAUACAGAGGGUGCAAGCGUUAAUCGGAAUUACUGGGCGUAAAGCGCGCGUAGGUGGUUUGUUAAGUUGGAUGUGAAAGCCCCGGGCUCAACCUGGGAACUGCAUUCAAAACUGACAAGCUAGAGUAUGGUAGAGGGUGGUGGAAUUUCCUGUGUAGCGGUGAAAUGCGUAGAUAUAGGAAGGAACACCAGUGGCGAAGGCGACCACCUGGACUGAUACUGACACUGAGGUGCGAAAGCGUGGGGAGCAAACAGGAUUAGAUACCCUGGUAGUCCACGCCGUAAACGAUGUCAACUAGCCGUUGGGAGCCUUGAGCUCUUAGUGGCGCAGCUAACGCAUUAAGUUGACCGCCUGGGGAGUACGGCCGCAAGGUUAAAACUCAAAUG